GACAGAGGUGGCAAGCGUUGCUCGGAUUCACUGGGCUUAAAGGGCGCGUAGGUGGUCUUGUAAGUCAAAGGUGGAAUUCCACAGCUUAACUGUGGAACUGCCUUUGAUACUGCAAGGCUUGAGUCAGGUAGAGGAGGGCGGAAUUCCCGGUGUAGCGGUGAAAUGCGUAGAUAUCGGGAGGAAGGCCGGUGGCGAAGGCGGCCCUCUGGGCCUGUACUGACACUGAGGCGCGAAAGCGUGGGGAGCAAACAGG
rnacentral:rRNA from 1 species